rnacentral:rRNA from 1 species
UCGUAUCAAAGGUUUUUCGUAGGGGGAACAUCGUGGGAAGGAUCAUUUCACGUUUUAUAUAACAGCUUUUUUAGAGGGGGGUGUUUAUAUGGGUAUUGUGCGCGCUUUUUGGGGGAGUGUGCUUUUUUUGCAUGCACUUUUUUUUAGGAGGCUUCCACCCUUUCGGUGACCCUUCUAUUCCUUUUUCGCAAAAUUGUUCGCGAACCUUUUGAGGUAAGGCACUGUUUUGUAUAUAAUAUUUUAUCUAAAACCCACCAUGAAAAACCACAACAGAAACGAAACCAAGAAAAUAAAACUCGUGACGGAGGAUAUCUUGGCUCCCACAUCGAUGAAGAACGCAGCGAAAUGCGAUACGUAGUGUGAAUUGCAGAACACGUGAGUCAUCGAAUCUUUGAACGCAAGUGGUGCUCGCGGGCAAUCCUGCGAGCAUGUCUGUUUGAGUGUCCGCACAAAUUACUCGCACCCUUUUGUUCUUUUUGCUUUGGAAUUUAUUCUGAGGUAGGAAGUGAGAAAGGGGGCGGCGAUUGGGUUUUUAAUCUGCUUCACUGCGGAAGACCCGGAAAGCAGUGCUUGGAAAAUGGUACGGGGCUUUCGGCUCUUCGUGUCCUUCCGUGUGCGUUAACAUGUCUGCGCGACUAUCUAGCGCGGAAAACCAGUGUUUAAAACCAGCAAGCAAUGCGUGGUGCUUUUGUAGCGUCCGCUGCGCUGAGAAGAAAGGAAGUCUGGACGGGAUCAACGUUUCGGAGCUCUCUGCUGGGAAGUAACUACAUUCCAGGGGGGCGACGAGAUUGUGGAUGUUUUGUGCCAAACUGCCAUGAAAAAACUUUUCGGGGCACACGGCGGGAAUAGUCCGGCUGGAGGAGGAGUUCAUUUCACAUGGACGCAUUCUCUGGUUGGAAUUCUGCGGUGUAAAAGGCGGUGCGUGAAGGGGUGCUGUACACUACAUGCGCAGUGCGUCACUGGCGGCGCUCCUCGGUGUUGUACGAAGGACUGGUUGGCG